UUUUUUUUUUUUUUUUUUUUUUUUUUUUUGGAGCUAUGUAGAAUUUGCUUCCUGACCAAGUGGAGAUAUGACCUCAAUAGGACAAGGAAGUCAAGCCGAAACAGUACUUGGAACUGAGCAAGCUGUACACAGCUCCUGUAGAAACAAGUGCCCUUUUUAUGAUCAGAAAAAAAAAAAUGGGUUAUUUAAUUGGAAGAAAGUCAAAUAUUAAAAGUAAUAAUAAUAACAGAUUAAAAAGUUAUUGUCCCUUGUGUAUAUUUUCAAAUGCUCAAUAAAGUCUAUGGUACUGUUUAAUUAAGAAUAUAUGAA
rnacentral:lncRNA from 1 species